GAAAUUGCAUUACGAGUAAAGAUGCUCGUUACGCGCAGCAGGACGGAAAGACCCCGGGACCUUCACUAUAGUUUGGUAUUGGUGAUCGGUUCGACUUGUGUAGGAUAGGUGGGAGACUGUGAAGCUGUCACGCUAGUGGUGGUGGAGUCGUUGGUGAAAUACCACUCUGGUCGUUCUGGUUAUCUAACGUUGGGCCAUGAUCUGGUUCACGGACAGUGCCUGAUGGGUAGUUUGACUGGGGCGGUCGCCUCCUAAAGGGUAACGGAGGCGCCCAAAGGUUCCCUCAGCCUGGUUGGUAAUCAGGUGGUGAGUGUAAGUGCACAAGGGGGCUUGACUGUGAGACUGACAGGUCGAGCAGGGACGAAAGUCGGGACUAGUGAUCCGGCAGUGGCUUGUGGAAGCGCUGUCGCUCAACGGAUAAAAGGUACCUCGGGGAUAACAGGCUGAUCUUGCCCAAGAGUCCAUAUCGACGGCAUGGUUUGGCACCUCGAUGUCGGCUC
rnacentral:rRNA from 13 species